rnacentral:rRNA from 1 species
UACGUAGGGGGCAAGCGUUGUCCGGAUUUAUUGGGCGUAAAGAGCGUGUAGGCGGCUUGACGGGUCUGCUGUGAAAACUCGAGGCUCAACCUCGAGAUGUCGGCGGAAACCGUCUGGCUAGAGUCCGGAAGAGGAGAGUGGAAUUCCUGGUGUAGCGGUGAAAUGCGCAGAUAUCAGGAAGAACACCUAUGGCGAAGGCAGCUCUCUGGGACGGUACUGACGCUGAGACGCGAAAGCGUGGGGAGCGAACAGG